GUCCAUUUGAACCUGCUCUGCCGGGGAGCCAGGAAUAAGAUCUUUUGGAAGAAAUUCCUCUUGAUGAAAAUGGGGCCGAGUAGCUAAAUUUAUGUAACAAGCAUUUAUUACGCAAUAAAUGCGGCUUUAACAAAUUUGAUUGUAUGGACUUUUGGAGGACUUUUUAGGAUUAACUUUAAAACACAGAAUUUAGGGACUAGUGAGGUGGCUCAGCAGGUGAAGGCAGCUGCUACCAAGCCUGAGGACUUGGGGACCCACAAGGUGGGAGGAGAAAGCCAGCUUUCCCAAGGUGUCCUUAAUUCGUGCUACAGCUUGAGCUCACACAAUAAGAAUGGGGAGAGGGGAGACGUUGAGGAAUAUGUCUAAUGUCCUGUAACUGGAGCUCAGUGGUAGUGUUGCUUCCCCAGCAGGCAGGAGAGCCCAGGCUCAACGCUCAGCCAGGCACACACCCCUCACCAGCCAGGAAUCCAAGGUUUUGCUCUCUGCACGUGGCUUUAACUACUUGAUGGGAAUCAUUUCCUAAUGCCUAAAGGCUGUCUUAGAAAUAAGUGAGUUUGAAAUACUGUUUGUUUCUGUCACAAGUCCUAUUCUUUGGCUUCAACCAUUAUACCUCUAAAAGGGACCCCCCCCCUCACCCCACUACCCCCCCCCACACCCACUGGGUUAAGCGAAGGAUCAAAUGUAGACAUUUCACUCCAUGAAAACUUAAUAAAGACCGCCAAACAGAAACAGUGGCAAGGAUUUUUGUUCAGUUUGUACUUAUUCCUACAUUACCUCAUUUCUACGGGGUCUCUGGGACCAGUUCUCACUCUAGUUCAAACUGGCCUUGAUCUGCCACCCUUCUGCCUCUUGGGCGCCUCUCCUGGGCUCGAGAUCACAAGCGCUUGCUUUUUGAAGCAUGUAUUUCCCUGAUUCAUCUCCAAUCCCUCGAGGAACAUAGGGCCCGGGUUGUUGGUUAUUUCCUCUCCGAAGCCCCAGUGAUAAAAAUCCAAGCAGGCAGUCGCGGGACGGCUAUUGCCGGCAAUCGGGCCCUUCCCGGGCAGGAAGCGCGUCGCUGUCCCCAGCUGUGCCGUGAGUCCGUCCUUUGCGAGGAUCCGCCUCUGCGGGUGGCGGGCGACACCUGUGGCCGCCUCUGGGAGGAGAGCGGAGUUGGCAGCUUGGCCUGCGAGCGUCGGGAACCCAGGCGCAAUGAAGAAAUGCUUCCGCAGUUACAGAUCGAACAACAAUUAACAACAACGAUGACAACGACAGCAGACAAGCCACUGGAAAUGUUCUAACAAUUCAAUGAAGUAGAAUUCUGACCGAAGAAGAGCCUCAAGUAUUCUUAGCGGACAAUGCAGAAGCAGAGGCCAUUUGCCUCCUGUUGUCCCCCCUCCAAAUAGCACAACGUUGCCUUUAACAACCCCCGGAGAAUCGUUACAACCUGGGCUGCGGAAAUCGAGACCCGAGAAAGCUCUCCGAAGCAGUUACGGAGCUGCAGAACAGAGGACACUUCCCACGUUGCAUUAUGAGCCGAGGUCUUUCACCUGCCUGGGAACUUGUUAAUUUGGUUACGCUGGCUGGUCAGAAAGCCUCAGGGAUCUGCGUGCUGGGAGGAGCAGCCCUCCCUCUGCACCACACUGGUCUUUUUCACAUCCUCACACAUCCAUAAGCAGGUUUAGAGCCUUUACGUAAACAAGGAGUGACCUGACUGUAUUCUCAGCCCUGUUUGCCACCUCCAUGUGGACAGCUAGCCUCUUGUCUCAGAACCAAGUCUGACACGCUUCAGGUUUGCCCACUGGAGCUGAGUCAUCUCCAGGGGGAAGAAACUGACGAGCCAGUUAAACACUCGAAGACGAAGGAAAACAUCUGUUGGCGUGGAAAAGUGAUUAUUUCCCAAGCUACCGAGUAAAACACAACAGGCCUGGCUGUUUGAACUCUGGUUUCUUGUCAGAUUUUCUUCUUUCAGGAAACCUUACAGAAAGCUCCCACCAUCUGGAACUCAGAGACUCAUCUGGGAGCUGACUGUGGCUUCUAGAAGAUCCAGGUGUUCUGCAGAUGUGAGAAUGUAUCCCACAGUCACCAGAUGAAGCCCUAAGCAGAUGCAAGGCUUGUGUUAUAGCCUUAGCCUCCCUGAGUGCAAAGGGUCACUUCCUGGCUAAGUGGCCAGGAGCGGUUAUUGACGUUGAUGUCUGAAUGCUGCACCUGACCAGUCAUCUGAUUAGGCUGUGAUGAGAAGACAUCUUGAGGGGACCAACCCGACUUUGGGGGGGGACCACAUUCUUGACUUUCUUAGAUUAGGAUUCCAUAUGGGGACCUGGUUUCUGUAGCCCCUGCCAUCCCUGUAGCCAUCGCUAACACCAGUGUGUUCUUGACAACUGGACUCCUUGGUGACUUCCUGCACUGAAGGUGAACAAAGAGAAAACUCUUCGAGAGAUUCAUGUGGUGGCCAGAUAUCACUUCACGGAGACAACAGGAAGUCGUUGUGUCCUACCAUGGGCUGGCUCUUUCUAAAGGUUUUGUUGGUUGGCAUGGUUUUUUCUGGACUUCUCUACCCGUUCGUGGAUUUCUCUAUCAGUGGGGAAACAAGAGCCCCCAGACCAAACAUUGUGAUCAUUUUGGCUGAUGACAUGGGAUGGGGUGAUCUGGGAGCAAACUGGGCAGAAACAAAGGAUACCACCAAUCUUGACAAAAUGGCUUCUGAAGGAAUGAGGUUUGUAGACUUCCACGCAGCUGCUUCUACCUGCUCGCCGUCCCGAGCCUCCCUGCUUACCGGCCGGCUGGGUCUACGGAAUGGAGUCACGCACAACUUUGCAGUCACCUCUGUAGGGGGGCUUCCACUCAACGAGACCACCUUGGCAGAGGUGCUGCAGCAGGCCGGUUACGUCACUGCCAUGAUAGGCAAGUGGCAUCUUGGGCAUCAUGGCUCUUAUCACCCCAGUUUCCGUGGCUUCGAUUACUACUUUGGUAUCCCGUAUAGCAACGACAUGGGCUGUACCGACAACCCCGGCUACAACUACCCUCCUUGCCCAGCAUGUCCGCAAAGCGAUGGCCGAUGGAGGAACCCUGACAGGGACUGUUACACAGAUGUGGCCCUUCCUCUCUAUGAAAACCUGAACAUCGUAGAGCAGCCGGUGAACCUGAGCGGCCUUGCACAGAAGUAUGCAGAGAGGGCAGUGGAGUUCAUUGAGCAGGCAAGCACCAGUGGGAGACCCUUCCUGCUCUAUGUGGGCCUGGCCCACAUGCACGUGCCUUUGUCUGUAACUCCACCGUUGGCCAACCCACAGAGCCAAAGGCUGUACCGUGCAAGUCUCCAAGAGAUGGACAGUCUGGUAGGGCAGAUCAAGGACAAAGUGGACCACGUGGCAAAAGAAAACACACUCCUCUGGUUUGCAGGAGACAACGGCCCGUGGGCUCAGAAGUGCGAGCUGGCAGGCAGCAUGGGCCCCUUCUCCGGAUUGUGGCAAACCCAUCAAGGGGGAAGUCCAGCCAAGCAGACCACCUGGGAAGGUGGGCAUCGGGUCCCAGCACUGGCUUACUGGCCUGGCAGAGUUCCAGUCAAUGUUACCAGCACUGCCUUGUUAAGCUUGCUUGACAUCUUCCCCACCGUGAUAGCCCUGGCGGGAGCCAGCUUGCCCCCAAACCGGAAGUUUGAUGGUGUGGACGUCUCUGAAGUGCUCUUUGGCAAGUCACAAACGGGGCACAGGGUACUGUUCCACCCCAACAGUGGGGCUGCUGGAGAGUACGGCGCCCUGCAGACUGUCCGCCUGGACCGUUACAAGGCCUUCUACAUAACGGGUGGAGCCAAAGCUUGUGAUGGGGGCGUGGGUCCCGAGCAGCACCACGUCUCCCCUCUCAUUUUCAACCUAGAAGAUGAUGCUGCUGAAAGUUCCCCUCUACAGAAGGGAAGCCCCGAGUACCAGGAGCUGCUGCCGAAGGUCACCAGGGUUCUUGCAGAUGUCCUUCAAGACAUCGCUGAUGACAACAGCUCUCAAGCAGACUACACUCAGGAUCCUUCCGUGACCCCUUGCUGUAACCCUUAUCAAAUUACCUGCCGUUGCCAACCCGGGGAAUGACAGGUCAUUCCCCGACCCCCACCCGGUGAGAAACACUAUCUGGAAAUUUUAGACAGGAAGGCACCAUGGUCACAGGAUGAGAAAGUCACCAACACAAAGCAUGUCAGGAUUCCCCACAGAGGAAGGAUUCCCCACACGUUUGCCAAGCACUCACUGACGGCGGCAACAUGGACGACAACAGCUGUUAUCGUAUCUGUCAUUCCACAGGUUAACACAGCUGCAGUGUGUUGGUCCCAGGCGAGACACAAAAUGUUUCAUGUCAACAACAAUGAAGCUUGAGGUGCAAACACAAUAAUGUGCUCAUUUAACAGACAGGGAUGCUGAGAGACUGCUUCCCAGUGCCUCACAGCUCAAAAGGGGCUGCGUCGAGACGUAAGACUCAGGAUCACAGACCUAGACUUUUGCUUCUGUGCAGGACACCCCAAAACGAACUCUACUACACUGACAAUGACCCAGCAAAGCUCCAGUGCGUGCAGAAUACCCGGGGCUACUCCUUCAGUCAGGUAGGACUUCCACCUGGCCCCGCACUUGCCUGUCGGUCAGCUGUUCCAACUUGAAGAUGUGCACGGUCUCCGUGUUGCUGGAGGCACACAGGAACUGGGAGUCCAUACUGAACACCAGAGAGCUGAUUGUCACAUACCUGAAGACAGCAACACACGGGCCCAUGAGCUGGAACUGUGAGGGGCGUCACCUCACAGUUCUGAGAGGAGAAUGCGUCUUGAAGGGCCAAGCUCUUCUAACCUUCCCACACCCCCCAACAGUACGCUGCUUGUGUUUUAAAAGCCACGUGGGAGAGAUUCAGGGAGAGCCACACUCAUAGGUAUGAACCCACAGGGCUGGCCCUUCCUCCCAGCCAGCGGAUGGGAGUCCUGUGUCCUUAGCAUGUGGACCUCUCCAAGCUGCUCUGAAGAGAUCCAGCUGCAAACCUCACAGAAAACAAAGGUCCCAACUGCUGACUUUUUCUUUCUUUUUUUUUUUUCCCAACUGCUGACAUUUGAUGCUGCCCUUCAUUUCCCUUUGUGGGGGAACUGGAAAUUACUUCUGGAGUGUGAUCCACAGGCUCUCUGGUUUCUCUGGUGAUGGCCUCCCAUGGCCUUAUCAAAAGACCCCGACUUCCCCUUCCUGCCUCAAGCCUCAGCAUUAAGCCCUCUUCUUUGCUUUUGGAUUUUUACAAAGCCCCCCGACCCCGUGGGGCUCUGACUCCAUUACUUGGAAAGCACUUAACCUCUAGGAGGAGGCUGUAGGGCCUGCCCCUGCCCUCUUCCUAGCCAGCUGCCAGGGAGGAGUUUUUAUGAUGGCACGGACACUGGGCACAGACCUUUUCAUUCCUCGACGGAACUCAUAGAGUUUCUGCCCUUCGGGCACAGAGAACACUCGGAUGACGGUGCCCUGGAAGACAAACGGGUGGCCUUUUUCUUAACACGAAUGUGUCACACAGAGAUGAUGUCCCUUCCCAGGGCAGUUUGUUCUCCUGGCUUUGAACAUCUGUCUCUGAGGAGGAAGCAUGAAGCAUUGAGUGCAGGGGCAUUUUUAUUUGUGUGUGUGCCAACUAUGAAUUCUGGGAACUCUGCGUCCUCUGUGUUAGAUACUGUUGUUCCUUCCCCUGCCUUGUUCAAGGCUGUGUGUGUGUGUGUGUGUGUGUGUGUGUGUGUGUGUGUAUGUGUCAAUGUCACACGUGCACCAUCACAUACUGUUCCGACUUUAUAGACUAUUCUAUCUCUGCUUACUAAAACGUAUCUGGCUUACAUAGCAUUUGAAAUGUAACAUGAUCGUCUUCUUUGUUUAUUCUGAUCAACCGGGUCCAAAUUCCAUAUCUGUGUACAACGGGGACAUGCAUUUUUAUCUGGGAACAACAGGCCCAUGCAUCUCUCAAUAAAACCACAAGUUUUAUGCCAAGUGUCUUGCAUCUGCUUUACGGUCAGCCUUUGAUACGGACAAACCUACUGACUGCCACCACAGGCAGUCCUUCAUAUUGCAAUUACUGGUCCAGCAGCAGCCUGGGCGCCCAGGCAGGAGGAGAAGCCAGAGGACGCUUACUUUUUCAGACGCACUUGCUAGUUUGGAGCCGGAGGAGUUGAAGGUGAUGGCGGCCAGGGUUCCCUCGUGGGCAGCAAUGGUGCACACCAUUUUCUGUUGGUGAUGGGGAGAAGUGGAGAUCAAUACUGGUGAAGGGGGAAGAUGAAUGUCCUCCCCUCUCCUUGCUCUCUGCUGUGUCUCCCUGCCCACCACUGGGCCACUUUCCUGUGGAGAGUGUGCUAGUAGGGACCCCUCCCUCCACGACCUCUCUCUUUGUUCUGGUGAAGCAAUGAGUGUAUGUAGGGCUUCUUACAGGGUCGUGGGCAACUUGGCAAGUAAUAUACUGAAGAAAAUGUCUCCCCUAUCCCCACCAUGGCAACUUAAUAGUCUAUAUGGAACUGGUUCUCAAAAACCCACCCCACCCCUGCGUUAGAUUAGAUUAGACAGCCCCAAUCUAAUGCAGGUGCAGGGUUACUGACAAUCUAUGUCAUGUCCUGAGGGCAUCGUGCUAUAGCAAUUCACCCUUUCUCCUGAGUCUUCCUGUCCCUUCUUCUGUGACAUUCUUGGAGCUCUGUGUGUGUGUGUGUGUGUGUGUGUGUGUGUGUGUGUGUGUGUGUGUGUGUGAUCUCAUGUCUAUUCCUUGCCCUGCCUUUGGGAAGGUGGAUGACCAGCUGUGCGCCUGGUACAAAGCCAGGUUUUUAGGGGAUCUUUCUGCUUGCUUCUUUAGGGGAUUCCCAGAGGGGUCCCACCCUGCUCUAUGCAGCCCUGGGGAGCGGAGGGUAGCAAAUACAGAUGGACUGUGUGUUAUCUUCCUGAGUCCACCGUGAGCAGGUGCUCUGCCUCCUUACGGCACCUGCCUCACAGUGACACUGACUAAUACUGACUGUGAGCUUCAACACAAAUGCCCUUUGUUUUCCUUUGCCAAUGGCUGUGGCCAGAGAGCUCCCCCAUACAGCUCACACCUUCUUAUCCAGUCUGUUGACCCCUGCCUGGCCAGGGCACACAGGCUGCUGCACCAGGGACCGCUGUGAACUUACCAGGGAGUUUCCGUCAUAGAGUACAAUCUCGCCUGUACUCUGGCUUCCGGGGUAGGCCAGGUAAGAGUUGGAAUGGUUGAUUGAAAGGGCACAGAGACCUGGCAAAGAACACACAGCAUGAGGCCAAAGGAGGCACGGCUUGAAAGGGCACUCGAAAACCAUGUGUCUCGAGUGCCACCUGCUGGCGAGGGGAGGAACACGCUUGAGUAUUUCUGUCGCUUGUUCUAAUCCUUGCUUUCUAUAGGGAUGGUCACAGGAAGUUAGCUACAGUGCAAAGGUUCUGAACGCACAACAGGCAAAGAUUAAUUCGAAGUGUGGUACACAGGGAUCUGGGGAGUUUCUGCUGCUCUGGUCAGGUUUGCAUCUCCUUAGCCUUGAUCAGAACACACAACAUGCAUACUCCACACUAUGUGUGCUACCACACCACCGACACACACAGCCUUCUAAGCACCUUGGCUCAGACUCGUGGCUAACAUAGGUCUGCAAGGUUUUACUGUACACAAACUUCCCUGCUCUUACAGAAAAAGUGGCAGUUAAUAGGAAACAGACGUUCGAUAUUUCCCUGGGAAUCUUACUGCUGGAAAUGUUACUAUCAAGUUGGUAUAUAGCUUGACAUUGUCUUGUAUUGGGACUGUUGAUUUUAGAAGUUGUUCUCUGAGUUGAUGAUUUGAAUUUCAUUUUAUAAUGGUUAAGUGAACCAAGGAGGUGGUGUCGCAUGCACACCUUAAGUCCCAGCACUUGGGAGGCAGACACAGGUGGAUCUCUGAGCUUGAGGUCAGCCUGGUCUACCCAGUGAGUUCCAGGACAGCCAAGGCCACAUAUGGAAACACUACUGAAAGACAAAAACAAACCAAAACAGAAAGUUAAAUGAACCUUGGCUUGGGAUUUGAACACACCUCACAAAAUGCUAUUAAGCAUUAUUUAUUUAACUUAUUUCAAGUUUUUUUUCUUUUUCUUUCUUCUAUUUUUUUUGAAGUAGUGAUUUUGGCACUACCAACUAUAAAAUAAAAAUAUUGAUUUGUACCCUACAGUAUCAAUAUGGUCAGCCAAGAUUUAAUUACUCCUGUGAAAAGAAACAAGCCCUUCCUUCCGUGUCAUUCCUGUGGAAACUUUACUGUCUUCAAUAAGGGGUGAGAUUACACCCAAGAAUUAUUUUAAAACAAAAUUAUGAUCUAUUACCAGCCAAUGUUUGAUACGUAAACCUAUUUUAUCUGCAUAUAUGCUCAGGGCCUUGUAAAAGUUUCUUGCACUGAGAAGGGGCUGUUAGUGGGGAAAUUUUAAGAAACCCCAUUCUGAACGAAGGAUUUGAAUCAAGAAAAUCUGCAGGAGACCUCCUGACUUAACACCGGCAGCGACCCCUCCACUGCCAAGCAAGCAGACCUCGGAAUACAAAGAAUAUUCUCCUUCGCACUUUUCAGCCCAGGGCACUGAAACAGAGGCUGCCUCUCUUCCAAUCCCAUUACCCUCUAGAACCCUGUGAGUCUGCUCAUAGCUGGAGCAGGACUUCCUGGUGGGAAAGGUCAGCAUGCGUUACCCUUUUCUGAGCUCUAUUAAGCCGGGGCUUCAGUGAACUUCCGGAAAGGCAAAAAGACCUCUUUUUUUUCCUUAUCACAUCAACCACUCUGAUAAGGGAGGGCGGAGCCUCCUCUGAGGCGAAGUCACUGGAGGUCUGCAUUGUGGUUGAGGCAGCAAGCCUGGCCUUUGAGAGAAACUUUGCAACGGAAAGCGUCAACAUCUUUUGGAAGUCAAGGAAGCCAAGUAAACUCUGGAUGUGACAUGAACCAUUUUGAUUUAAGGAUAAUCUGGGGGGCUGGGGAUUUAGCUCAGUGGUAGAGCGCUUACCUAGGAAGCGCAAGGCCCUGGGUUCGGUCCCCAGCUCCGAAAAAAAGAACCAAAAAAAAAAAAAAAAAAAAAGGAUAAUCUGGAGGGGGAGGGGCACAAUUUGUCCCUGCAGUACUGAGGGGAGGCUUCUCACACCAAUGACCGGGAUUGGUAGUCAUACGCAUACAUGGUAAGAACUCCAGAGUCAAAACAUAAGUGGAAAACGAUAUUCAAGAAGAUUAUAUGGGAGACAUCGUUUUAAAUAAAUAAAUAAAUAAAUAAAUAAAUAAUAAAUAAAUAAAAAUUCUGGCUAGCUUUGUUGUAAACUGGUGUAUUCAGUGGGUUCUUAUAAGAAAGCAUUUGUAAAAUGCUUUUAGGCCCAGACUAAAAGGCCCCUUACUUAUCCUGUAGGGGAGGAGAGCAGAGAGAGGGUAAAAACCAAUUAUGACUGGAAACUAGGUCCUGCUUCCUGCUCUGGCCUCACUGCACACACAGCCAAGCCCCUUCACUUAUCUCUUGCCACACAGAACUCCAAGAGGAGGCUGGCUGGGUGCCCUUAACUGCAGGUGCCAGCACAGCUGCGAGCCCCUACCUGGUCAAAGUCGCUCAGGGCCUUUGUCACCGUGAGAGGCCACCUUCCCUGCCUGCUCUGUGAACCUUGGGGCAGUGGUGAGGGAGAGAAUUGAAAUGUAGAGGAACUUGUGAUCUUACAGGGAACCAAUAGCCAUGAGGGUAUCUGAGUACUCGGGCUUGAAAGAAGAAAGCCUUAAAACCAUAGUGAAGGGGACUGGACAGCAUGUGUCCUUUAUAAGCAAGAGGUCUGGAUUCAGAGUCUGAGAUCUGUGUCAGACAAACAAAUGGACACCUAGCUUUUUACACACAUGCACGCACAUGCACACAGACACACACACACACACACACACACACACACACACACACACUGAGGUGAGUGGUCACUUCAUAGUUACUAGGGUAACUACAAUUUGAAAGGGCAGCUAGGGACCGGAGAGAGGGCUCGGCAGUUAAGAGCACUGGCUGCUCUUCUCCAGGACCCAGGUUUGAUUCCCGGCAUCCACAUGGCAGCUCACAGCCAUCUCUAACUUCAGAUCCAGGGAAUCUGGUGCCUCCUUCUGGCCCCAGCUGGCACCAGGCAUACAUGGUGCACAGAUACACAUGCAAGCAAAACACUGGAAAACAUAAAAAACAUUUUUUUUCUGAGGAAGCUCAUAAAUGCCAGUGAGGAGAUGGAAAAAUUGGAAGGCUGUGUACAGGAGUAUGAAUUGGGGCAGUGUGUUGGAAAGCAAACUGGGAGUUCUCAGAAAUUAAUCACAGUUAUCACAUGACCUGGAAAUUCUACUCUCGUGUAUAUACCAGAAAGAAACAAAAGCAGUGUCCACACAAAACCUUACAUGAGAACAGUUACACUUAACAAUACCCGUUACCAGCAAGACUAGAGAUACAGAGAUACUGUUACUGAUUCUCAACGCGUUUUGGUUGCAGGAUACAAGGGAAUCGGGCUUGAACUGACCUGGAAACUUCCUCUAUGCAGGCCCCCAGAGAAGAAAGGUCAUCAGUAGGAUUACCCAGUGGGAGACCCUGCAUAUUACAACACCAACCUAACAGACAAGAUUCACCCAUUGUUGCAAUGGUCGUACAAAGGUCAUGGGGGUAGCCAACAAUCUCUGGAUUGAAUCUGAGACCUACUCUACAAAAGAGAAUUUAUGCCCGGGUCUGUAAAGCUGGUCAAAAAUCCCCAGUUCCUGAGGUCCCAGGCCCUGGAAGGAACAGUCUACUGUGGUCUUGCUGAAUGGACGUGCAGUCAAACUGCCUUCUAAGUACUUACACACAUAUAUUAGUGCUGCUGGCAACCUCGGCCAUAAAAACAUCUCUCUGCACUGAUCGCCAAACAAGGCGGACCCGUAAGUGAGCAGAGCACGGAGACAAAGCCCAGACUGGAGCAUCGACAAGAACCUUCCUCUACCCCAAGACUCAGGGAACGUCGCAGAAGAAAGGGCAGAAAGAACGCAAGGAGGGAGAGGAGCGCCGUAGAAUGCCAUCUGCUGGACGUGACACGACCAUUCACAGACUCACGAACUCAUCACAGCUCUGUGCUCUGCACAAGACUCAUGCACGAUCAAGCCAACAGCAUCAGCCGCCAUUCCAUUCCCACGGGGCAGCACUAAUGGACUCAGUGGGUUAAAAAAAAAAAGGCCUGAAGCAAGGACUGGGGAGAUGAAAUUACUAAAGAAUGAAAACAACAUUCUAUUCUAUUUUAUUUUUUUAAAGAUAGAAGCAACCUAUGUAAAGCAACUAAUGGGGAUAUACUGUGUCCUUCCAACGGGAUAGUCUUUGCCAACAAGAAGGUCCGAAGCCUACUACAGGAAGCGGUACAGAUGAAAUUUGGAAACACCAAGUAGUAAAGGCAGGCCGGACAGAGCACGUGAAGCAGUCAGUACAGGUAAAUGUCUAGUGACAGAAAGGAGACCAGGCCUUACCCAGGGCUAGGGGAAGAUGAGGCGGGCAGAGCCUGAGAGGCAUAGGGUGUCUUGGGGGAAGGGUGAUAAAAUGUUCUAAAAUUAAACGUGGGUCUGGUGUGCUGGCUCUGUGGGUAAAGGUGUUUGCUGCCAAUACUGACAACCUGAGUUAGAUCCUGGGAGCCACGUGGUGGAAGGAGAGAGAAGUGACUCAUGAAAUUCGUCCUCUGACCUCCACAUGUGUGUGCAAAUAAGUGUAAUAAAAUACACAUAACAAACAUAAAACAUCCAAAAUAUUUGGUAAUAAAAUCACAACAAUGGCUAUUCCCUUCUGCAAAUACAGAAAAGCCUGUAGUGGACUUUAUUAAUUUUUUACCUUUAUAUAUGAGAGAGAGAGAGAGUGUGUGUGUGUGUGUGUGUGUGUGUGUGUAUGUCUUACCACGUGUGCACAGGUGCCCCAUGGAGCCAACAGAGGGAUGGGAUUCCCUGGAGCUGGACUUACAGGCAAUGGUUAAGUCACCGGAAGUGGGGUUAGGAGCCGCACACUCGGGAUCUUUUGGAAGAACAGCGAGCGUUUUUAACUGCUAGGCCAUCUCUCCAGCCACAAACUAUUCACUUUCAAUGAGUGGAUUCUAUGAUAUGUGCAUUAUAUAUCAACACAGCUUUGGGGUAACUUAUUAGUGCAUGUUAAUCGAACAGUGAUAUGACCAUCUCCAGUAAACAUGAACAUUCUAAUAUGUCCAUCUCACUGUUGCCUCUUGGUUUUUUCUUUUUUCUUUUUUCUAUUUUUCAGAGCUGGGGACCGAACCCAGGGCCUUGCAUUUGCUAGGCAAGCGCUCUACCACUGAGCUAAAUCCCCAGUCCGCCUCUUGGUUUUUUUUGAGACAAGGUUUCUCUGUGUAGCCCUGGCUGUCCUGGAACUCUCUCUGUAGACCAUGCUGGUCUCAAACUCAGAUAUCCUCCUGCCUCUGCCCCUGAGUGCUGCACUGGGAUUAAAGGUGUGCGCCACCACUGCCCAGACAUUUUUGAUUACCCUUCUUACCCGUCCAUCCCUGCCCCACCCUGGUCUCUUUCUCUUUUUAUCUGCCUCCCUCUCAGGGAAACACAGACAUUCAGGACGUUUUGUGUGACAGGAACAGGCUAAGGAUACAGUUCCCCAAGAGGCACCUGCCCUGUACCACUUGGCUCUUUCAGGCUGGUUUCCCAUCUGAAGUGAAGGGGCUCCCAUGAUAGAUUUCUCUAAGGGACCAGGCCUUCCCUUACCUACCUCCCUCUCUUUGAAACUAUGGAGAGCAUCCUUGUGGCUGAGGGAGCCAGGAGCCUUUGUUGUCUUCUGGAAGUUUAGGCCGAGACGUAAGUAUCCCAAGGAGGAAGAGAAGUUUGAGCACUUGAAGCUAACUGAAUUUUCUGUCACACCCAGUGUAGAAUCAGAUAUAGACUUUCUCUAACAAGAAAGGAGCAAAAGAUAAAGACAGGUGACCUGUGACCUGUGACCUGUGUGACCUGUGACAUUCGACCCCUUACUAGACAGCUUUGCUUCUGGGCUUGCCUCUGACACCCCACGUGACUUCAGAGAGAGUGUCCUGAGCAGACCUGUGCAGACUUAAUGAAGUGACCCAGUGAUGCUUGACUGAAGUUCCUCCGGUGCCCAUCCCAUCCCAAGUACCCUCCCCCACUACUAUCCAAGUCUCAGAACAGCUCCAAUCAGCUGCAAGGACCUCUUUUUGUGACUCGUGAAGCAACCUGGGAAUCGGGAAGACCCACUCCAGGUGUAGCCAUGACCAGGCCACAGCUUUCUCUUUCUGUCACUGGUGCCACACAAAGUCGUUCUUAAAUCAAAGUGGGCUCUUUCUAAAGUGCUGGUGACAAAGCCCAGAAAACACAGAGAAGGGAGAAGGAAAAACAAUUAAAAAGGCGGCCAAAUUUGAAACUCAGGCUUUCUCUCCUGUUAGUGUUAGUGCAUGUAGUCUUUAAGCCAUUUUUCUAUGUAGGCAUGAGGUUUAAAGAUUUUUAUAUUUAUUUAUUUAUUGGGGGUACAGGGGAGACAUGUGUGUGCCAUGAUAUGCAUGUGGAGGUCAGAAGACACAUGGGAACCAGUCUGCCCCUUUGUGGGGUCCUAGAGACCCAGCUCCAGUCCUCAGACUUAGGGCGAGUGGCUUUACCUGCUAAGCCAUCUCACUGGCCCAGAGUUGGGGUUUUAAAGUGGCUCUGGCCUUGUUUUAGACUCGAUGCAUGUUUUAUACAUAGCUGUUAUUUUGCUGUGAUUGUUUGCCUAUAAUUCUCCCACAUCUGGAAAAGAAGGGCCCUUUAUUAACUCGAGCACCACAUGACCAGAAUUGGAAGGAGGCCCCUCCAUCCCUCUUCAUCACAUGCCCUGCAUAGUUGACUAAUGUCUCAGGGGACACUUCCCAGGGCUAGAGGGUGCAGCUUGAGGAUACAGCGUGCAGAGCUGUACAAGACCCUGGGCUCCAGCCCCACCACCAUUUACUCAACAUGCUUUCCAAUUCCCAGGGAUAGAAAGCCAAGAAACCCACUGAGUGUGGUGUGGUGUGGUGUGGUGGUGCCUGCCUGUCAGUCCAACACUCGGGAGGCUGAGGCAGGAGAAUGGCAAGUCUGAAGUCAGCCUGGGAGAACAAGACCUUAUCUCAAAAGACUCAGAAGACAAGACAAGACAAGACAAGACAAGACAAGACAAGACAAGACAAGAGAAAAGAGGUUUACUCCAUAUGCUGCAAGCACUUUUUGCCGCCCUGGCUGGAGUUUGUUUACAUCACCACUAUUUACAUCUGUGGAAAGGCCAUGUGCUGGCCAACGAUCCUGGGCUCUCUUCUAUGAGCACAGGGAUGUGUGAUCCUGAACAUCCCCUUUGUGGUCUGUCUGUCUGUCUGUCUGUCUGUCUGUCUGUCUGUCUCUGUCUGAGAUGGUCCAUCUGUCUGUCUGAGGUGAUCAGUCUGGGACCAUCCAACCCAUCCAGCUGUUCUACCACUGGCAGGGUUUUCAUGGAGAUUUCCACACUUUACUGCUCAGGGCACAGACUGCUGGCUGGCAGGAAAUUAACUCUCAGCUCGGUCUGAGCAAACUCUUUAAAGGAAACAGCCUGUAAUGUUUGACACAAGGGGAGCAAGCAUCACACACACACACACACACACACACACACACACACACACACACACACGGGGGGGGGGGCUUUUCAGUCACCGUAGACACUGAGCACCAAACAAGCAGGGAACUCCUUAUAUUCCUAAUGACCCCAGCCCCUAGACGGAAACAUUCAGAGUCUGUGUGGUGAAGCCAGUGUUGCCAUAGAAAACAAGACAAAGCGUGCAUACGAGAGGGCUCUGGGCACCCCCUGAGUCAUGCUCUUUCCAGUACAGAGCCCUCUGACGCUUGCUGAGGGAGGCUGAUGAGUUGUCCUGAGAGGGGCUGCCGUCGGGGACGAAGGGGACUAGAGAGUGGGGCUGACUGAUCAGACAUGCACGGAAGGGACCUUAGCUCAUCUAAUACGUGGUGUCAGUUCUCCCUAUCCAAAGCCAUCAUUCCAGUUCACUGCCAUGCGAAGGCAGUUCAGAGGAAGCAAUGGUGGCAGUUGUGCAUUUUGGAUUUGAAACUGUUUUGGGGCUAUUGGUCUAAAAGGACAUUAGGCAUCUGAAUGGAGGCACUGAGACCCAGAAAAUAUUUUUCAUGCUUUUCUGCAGUGGGCAGGAAGGGGAGGGCCUUGGCUAUGUAGCUCUACCUAUCCUGGAACUCACAAUCUAGUGCAGACUGGCCUCCAGUUCAUAGGUGUUAUCCUCCUGCUUCAGCCUCCUGGGAGCUGGACUUAUGGGUAUGUAUCAGCACUUCUGUGACUAACUUUUCUUGAGAUAAAAGUGAUUCACUUUUGGCAGCGUUGGGCUUACACUGUAAUCCCAGCAUUCAGGAGGCAGAGGCAGGAAGAUGGAGAGUUUGAGGCUAGCCUGGGCUAUACAGGAAGACCCCCAUCUCAACAAACAAAGAAGACUCAUUCCCUUUCAUCAAGAGCACAAGUAAAUUCUUGCUUUUAAUUUAUUUUCUCAUUUUUUUUUUACUUCACUGCAAAAAUUAGGCAACCAGUGAGUUUUCUGGGCUGCAGAGAAGCGACCACAGUCAUACAUUGUAAAUGGAAGAAGAGAGACUAUAUACACAACAGUUUUCACCAUCCAGUCUGCGUUUUCUAGGCUACAUCAUCUAGGUGUGCACAAGCAGACUGUGAGGCUCACACAGUCACAGAGCCAACAGAUGCUGCACUUCUUGGAACUCAUUCUGCUGUUAGGGGGCACAUGUCUGUUUACUGGAUUAAAACUGAGAGUAAGAGUUGUUCCCUUGUCCUGUGGUGGGUGGGCUGUGCCUCCAGGCUGAAGCUGCUCUGACACGCAGCCUGAAAGCCCAAGGAAGACCGGCCAAGCAGGAGACGGGUUGGCUGCACCCCAAGUAUGCUCUCUUUAGAGAAAUGAGAGCUGAGGCGGAGCAUAGCUUUCUGUGUGCUGAUCGUCCUUCCUAAACCCGGCAAAGUGUAGCAUAGCACAGGCCCUCUCCUCUGGCCUCUGCUCAGAUUCAAGCAUUUCUUAUAUCCACCACAAAUACACCACAGCUUCUUUAACCCUGUUACAGCGAGGGCACGUCACCCCUUCAGGCCCUGCUGCUAGGGCCUCUGCUUUCCACUGGCCCACAUCAGCUGGGGUUGGGUUCCUGGUAAGCAGAGGGUUUGUCUGUCCUUGUUGGGGCCUGCUGGUGCCGGGCACCUAGAACCUUUAUGACAACUGCUCUUCUAGACUGGUUCAACCCUUCAUUCCUAAAAUGGUAAACGUUCCACCUUGGAUCCCUUCCUGGUGAGAUGUGCUUCAAAGCCAUUAACUCGUGGAUUUCACGCUUUUCUUUUUCAGUGCCGGGGACGGAGCACGUGGGUUUGGGUAGCCAGCCAAGCACUUUAAGACCAACAACAUUCCCAGCCCCUCUCAGAACUUUAUGACGACCUUCACAUCCUUUUAAAGAAAUAGUUUUACUUAUUUAUCUGUAUGUGUAUGAGUAUUUUGCCUGCACGUAUAUUUACUGCAUGUGUGCCUGGUGCCCUUGGAGGUCAGAGGAAGGCAAUGGAUACUCCAGAACUCGAGUAAUGGAUGGUUGUGUGCCGUCACGUGGGUGCUGGGAACUAAACAUGGGUCCCCUGGAAGGAAAGUGAGUUCUAACCACUGAGACUGCUCUCCAGGUGCUGGGGAAUGUGUCAACAAGCACAUGUGAGAUCCUGGGUUUGAUCCCCAGAACCACACGUGCACACACAGCCCCGAUAUCAACAUCGAAGGGCAUCAGAUCAUCAAGAAGCGAGGGAAAGGAGACACGGGGAGGAUUUAGUGCAAGCCCCUCGCCCGUCACCUUCACAGACCUUACGUGGCUUAAUUCUCAGCAUCGGCUGCAAGAUGGCUCUUAUCUCAUUACACUUGCUACCAAUAAGGAACCCCAGGCUCACAACC